rnacentral:rRNA from 1 species
UUAGAGUUUGAUCAUGGCUCAGAACGUACGCUGGCGGCACGCCUAACACAUGCAAGUCGAACGAAGUAGCAAUACUUAGUGGCAGACGGGUGAGUAACAUGUGGGUAUCUGCCCUUUGGCCUGGAAUAACACGAGGAAACUUGUGCUAAUACUGGAUAAGUCUUUACGGAGAAAGCUUUAUGCACCAUUGGAUGAGCCCGCACUUGAUUAGUUUGUUGGUGGGGUAAUGGCCUACCAAGACCGUGAUCAAUAGCUGAUUUGAGAGGAUGAUCAGCCACAUUGGGACUGAGACACGGCCCAAACUCCUACGGGAGGCAGCAGUGGGGAAUCUUGCACAAUGGAGGAAACUCUGAUGCAGCGAUGCCGCGUGAGUGAAGAAGGCCUUUGGGUUGUAAAGCUCUUUCGUCGGGGAAGAAAAUGACUGUACCCGAAUAAGAAGGUCCGGCUAACUUCGUGCCAGCAGCCGCGGUAAUACGAAGGGACCUAGCGUAGUUCGGAAUUACUGGGCUUAAAGAGUUCGUAGGUGGUUGAAAAAGUUGGUGGUGAAAUCCCAGAGCUUAACUCUGGAACUGCCAUCAAAACUUUUCAGCUAGAGUUUGAUAAAGGAAAGCAGAAUUUCUAGUGUAGAGGUGAAAUUCGUAGAUAUUAGAAAGAAUACCAAUUGCGAAGGCAGCUUUCUGGAUCAUUACUGACACUGAGGAACGAAAGCAUGGGUAGCGAAGAGGAUUAGAUACCCUCGUAGUCCAUGCCGUAAACGAUGUGUGUUAGACGUUGGAAAUUUAUUUUCAGUGUCGCAGCGAAAGCGAUAAACACACCGCCUGGGGAGUACGACCGCAAGGUUAAAACUCAAAUGAAUUGACGGGGACCCGCACAAGUAGUGGAGCAUGUGGUUUAAUUCGAAGAUACGCGCAGAACCUUACCAACACUUGACAUGUUCGUCGCAACUUUAAGAGAUUAAAGUUUUCGGUUCGGCCGGACGAAACACAGGUGCUGCAUGGCUGUCGUCAGCUCGUGUCGUGAGAUGUUGGGUUAAGUCCCGCAACGAGCGCAACCCUCACUUUUAGUUGCCAUCAUUAAGUUGGGCACUCUGAAAGAACUGCCAGUGAUAAGCUGGAGGAAGGUGGGGAUGACGUCAAGUCCUCAUGGCCCUUACGUGUUGGGCUACACACGUGCUACAAUGGUAUCUACAACAGGAAGCGAAACAGCGAUGUUAAGCAAAUCCUUAAAAGAUACCUCAGUUCGGAUUGCACUCUGCAACUCGAGUGCAUGAAGCUGGAAUUACUAGUAAUCGUGGAUCAGCGUGCCACGGUGAAUGCGUUCCCGGGUUCUUGUACACACCGCCCGU